CGUACAAAGCUAGUAUACAUGAAAUCCGAUCGUCAAAGGCACAUAAAUCUUACCGCAGAUACAUGGAAGCAUAUCUUUACCCCUGUGAAAGGGCGAAGAAAUCACCCGUGUGAAAGUGAUCGGUUCGGGGGUGUGUUCGGGUGUGUUCUGGGCUUCUGGCACCCUCGGCCUUGCUCUGCUCCCGGCCGUCGUCCUCGCCCAGCACCUGCUGUCCGGAUCCUCAACCGCCGCCGUCCCCUGGCCCUGCAGAUCUUCCUCCACGAUGUCGGUGCUCGAGGCUCCAGCCCCUGGCCGGCCGCGUAGAGCGCGGAGAUAUUUCUGCCUCCAGCUUGAUGGGAGGCUUGUGAGUCACGACGACCGUUGGAAGGAGAUGAGGCGUGCGGCGGUGGGAAGGAGACGAGCCUCGGCGCUGAUCCCCGCCGCCGUCCUUCGCGGGAUUUCAACGUUGACUCGCCCUUGAACCUCGCCUCACCUCUCUGUUCCAUUCGCUAGGCACUUCCCUCCUUGAUUUUCGCUCAACACCCCUGCAUCUCUGUUGGAUGACGCAGGCACUGCCGCACCAAGGAAUCCGGCCGGUAACGACCUCUGACAUCCAGGCGACGGCAAGCGAUUCAGGAUUUUGUCCGUCCUAUCCAAAUUAGUUGUCUUGCAGAGGAAAAUGGUCAUGGAAUUGUCAAAUGCUAACCCUGUGGUUCAUGAGAAAAAAAGAGAGGCGCAUUUGGCUGCCACUAGAAAAUACAUAUGAAAAUGCAGCAGAGCCUAUAGACCAGCUAGAAAUAUUUUAUAUCCUCUUUCUUGGUUUUUCUGCAUGUAUGUAGGUGUAGCUUGCUUUCAUGGUAUAUGUUAUUAAUCCGGGGUCCUGCUAGCAUAAUAAUUUUGUACUCAUUUACAAUCUUACAUCAGAUUAGAGAUGUAAAGGACCCGGAGCAUCCAUAUUCAUUGGAAGAACUUAAUGUGGUAAUUGAAGUAUCAAUGAUGAACUUAGUAAUGUCAGGUAAGUUGAAAUCUAUCUACUGAAACUUUGAUGCUACAGUUCAGGAUUUUUAAUGAAAUCUAUCUAUUGGAACCUUGGAUGCUACAUGUCAGGUAACACUUCAUGUUAGAUUUCACCAUGUCCCUCUAAUGUAACAUAGGAAAGCCAUACUCAUGCGAUGAUGGACAAAUAAUCUCUCUGUCAUGUAUGUUACUCCUUGAUUGUGCAUACUCAUUUGUCAAAAAAAGUAGAGUCUAUAAAUUUGUUUUAUUAUACUUUCACACAGCCCCGUUCCCCACCUGCACAACUGCAUCCUACUCCUUCCAUCUUCCUUUCUUGAAACUCGGUAGUAUCUCAUUCUGUUGUUAAUUUACAAGUUCGAUUCGCUAUUGACAUUGCCGUAUCCGAGGAGGAAUUGCUGUAGACUGGUGUCUUCGCCAAAGAAGGGGAAGGACCGCUUGAUGACCAGUCCAUCAAUGUCGGCGUGUGCAGGAAGGCGGGUUCAAAAAGGUUUAAUUAAUUUGUGGUAAUAUGAUCGGUGCGUGCUCUGCUCAUUUUAGUUAUUUUGUUUUAGAUCGAUCUUCCAUGCAUGUAGUCAGACUAUUUAACUGCCCUCUGUUGAUUUGAUUCUUUAUAGUAAAUAAUCAUUUUCUCUCUUUGGUUUGAUUCUUUAAAGUGGAUAAUAUCGGAACGCUUCUAAUGAGGAGGUUGAAAGGAAAUACUGCUCCUACAAGCCUACAUUAUGAUCAUGUAGUGAGGGCCAGUUACAAGGCACAGAUCAGUGAAUCUGAACAAUAUUCUUUAUUGAACUGUGAGAACCAGAAUAAAUAUCUAGAACCAAUUGUAAUGAGUAAUAAGCCAACAACAGAACAAGCAUAUGUCUCCUUGAAUCUUAGAAAGCCAAUCAAAAGAAGAGUAAAAUAAUUAAUUGAAUUCAAUGCAAAAGCUUUUAGUUACUAUGUACUGUAACAUCGAGGAAAUUCUAAUGUCUUAUUUUGAACUACAUGCAACAACAGAUAGUGAUUGAUCCUGUAAUGCUGACCUUAGGAAAAAAAUUAAAAUCUUGCAUUUUCUGCUAUUUGCAAUGCCAAUGCCAAUGCCAAAAUAGAGCUUGUACCUGCUAUUCAUGUUGAUAAGAAAAGAUGCAAUGCUACUUUUUAUCUAGCUUUUUGGAAGUUGAAUAAUUGGAAAGCAAAACAUGAUAUGUGAUUGUUGAUUACAUUGUUGCUUUUUUGUCCCUAUCUCUCUACUGAUCUUUACCUGGUUAUGUGAUGUGAAAAGUAAUUCAAUAUAAUGUGCUAUUUUUAUUACUGACUUAGGUUGGCAUGUCUAACAUUCUUCUACUGGUUCACGACACUGAGAAUGUGAGCCAUGGGUCAAGUUUGAGGCAAGUGUGUGGAUCCAGUUUAAAGAGAUUAGGCACGAGAAGGGGGCUGCUGUCAAAGGUGUGGUUUUUGGAGGGUGGAUUUAUGGUUACGAUGCAUCGUACGGCAUCAUGCCUGAUCUGACAUCGAUUCAAGAUCACAGUGUACAAGAUAUGCUCCAGGAGCGUCACCAGCACUCGGUUUUCUUGCAGAACCACCUGGAGCGAGCUCGUCUUCGCAUGAAGAAUAUGGCAGAUCGUCAUCGUACUGACCGAUCUUUUCAAGUGGGUGACAAGGUUCUUCUUAAACUGCAACCAUAUACACAAUCCUCAGUGGUGAGUCGUCCCUGUCCUAAACUUUCAUAUAAGUUCUAUGGGCCUUUCGAAGUGGAGGCGCGAGUUGGAUCAGUGGCAUACCGACUCAAGUUGCCACUUUCUAGCAUGGUGCAUCCAGUUUUCCACAUUUCGCAAUUGAAACCAUUCAUUCCGAAGUAUACAGCAGAGUCAAAUGAACUACCAAACCCAAUUGUGUUGGACGCUGCUGAGCUGGUUCCUGAAGCAAUUCUCGAACGCCGUCUGAUCAAAAAGGGAACAAGGCCUAUCUUCAAGUCAGAAUCAAGUGGACUACUCUUCCAGCUACUUCUUCAACAUGGGAGGACUACGAGGUGCUCAAGUCCAGUUUCCCUGGAUGCCCCAGCCUGGAGACCAGCUGGUUCUCAAGGGGGGAGGGGUGGGUGGGACAAUGUUACAUCUGACGAGCCUCCGUCUGAUGCAACAAGUACAGUUUAAUUGUCUUCAGUUUUGCUUGGCCUGUCCAGUUUCUUUAAGUAUGUAACUUAGCGUUUGGGCCUGAGGAGGCUGUUGGGCUUUGACUACUAAGAGGUAGCUUGCUAACCUGAGAACGUUAUCGAUGAAAAGAAAUGAAACAACGCUCUCUCCCGA